rnacentral:rRNA from 1 species
AAUCAACGCUGGCGGCGUGCCUAACACAUGCAAGUCGAGCGAGAAAAGGGGAGCAAUCCUCUGAGUAAAGCGGCGCACGGGUGAGUAACACGUGGGUAAUCUGCCCUGGAGUGGGGAAUAACACCGGGAAACCGGUGCUAAUACCGCAUACGAUCACGAUGUCUGCGGAUGACGUGAUGAAAGGAGCAAUUCGCUCCAGGAGGAGCCCGCGGCUGAUUAGCUAGUUGGUGAGGUAAUGGCUCACCAAGGCUACGAUCAGUAUCCGGUCUGAGAGGACGGUCGGACACACUGGAACUGAGACACGGUCCAGACUCCUACGGGAGGCAGCAGUGGGGAAUUUUUCGCAAUGGGGCAACCCUGACGAAGCAACGCCGCGUGGAUGAUGAAGUAUCUCGGUACGU